UCGAGAAUCAUUCACAAUGGGGGAAACCCUGAUGGUGCGACGCCGCGUGGGGGAAUGAAGGUCUUCGGAUUGUAAACCCCUGUCAUGUGGGAGCAAAUUAAAAAGAUAGUACCACAAGAGGAAGAGACGGCUAACUCUGUGCCAGCAGCCGCGGUAAUACAGAGGUCUCAAGCGUUGUUCGGAAUCACUGGGCGUAAAGCGUGCGUAGGCGGUUUCGUAAGUCGUGUGUGAAAGGCGGGGGCUCAACCCCCGGACUGCACAUGAUACUGCGAGACUAGAGUAAGGGAGGGGGAACCGGAAUUCUCGGUGUAGCAGUGAAAUGCGUAGAUAUCGAGAGGAACACUCGUGGCGAAGGCGGGUUCCUGGACAUUAACUGACGCUGAGGCACGAAGGCCAGGGGAGCGAAAGGG
rnacentral:rRNA from 1 species